AGGGCACCACCAGGAGUGGAGCCUGCGGCUUAAUUUGACUCAACACGGGGAAACUCACCCGGCCCGGACACCGUAAGGAUUGACAGAUUGAUAGCUUUUUCAUGAUUCGGUGGAUGGUGGUGCAUGGCCGUUCUUAGUUCGUGGAGCGAUUUGUCUGGUUUAUUCCGAUAACGAGCGAGACUCUGGCCUACUAAAUAGUUGGCGCAUUGCUUCUGUGUGCACAACUUCUUAGAGGGAUUUUCGGUGUACAGCCGCACGAAAUUGAGCAAUAACAGGUCUGUGAUGCCCUUAGAUGUCCGGGGCUGCACGCGCGCUACACUGGCAUAAUCAGCGUGCUUGUCCUUCCCGAAAGGGGUUGGUAAACCCUUGAAAAUGUGCCGUGAUUGGGGUCGGAAAUUGCAAUUAUUUUCCGCGAACGAGGAAUUCCAAGUAAGUGCGAGUCAUCAACUCGCGUUGAUUACGUCCCUGCCCUUUGUACACACCGCCCGUCGCUGCCCGGGACUGAGCCAUUUCGAGAAA
rnacentral:rRNA from 1 species